GGGGAUGUUGCUCAGUGGUAGAGCACUUGCUGUCUUGAAUAAGGCUCUGGGUUCUAUCCCCAGUACCCUCU
rnacentral:tRNA from 1 species